AUGUGUUUAUCAAAUUUUUUUGUUGAUGAGAACUAAAUAUGUCUUUGAUUAUGAAAGUUCUACAAUACAGCCACCGUAUGCACAGCAAAGUAUUAUCCAAAUUUAAAAUACCAAUGUGUAUGUCGAUUUAAGUCUUGGAUCAGCGGGUUUGGCGCAUGAUCUCUCACAAGUAAGUAUAUUGCGACUAAUGAAAAAGUGUUGGAAAGGCAUAAAUAUAAGAGAA
rnacentral:lncRNA from 1 species